rnacentral:rRNA from 1 species
AUUGAACGCUGGCGGCAGGCUUAACACAUGCAAGUCGAACGAGUGGCGGACGGGUGAGUAAUGCUUGGGAAUCUAGCUUAUGGAGGGGGAUAACUACUGGAAACGGUAGCUAAUACCGCAUACCAUCGGAUGUGCCCAGAUGGGAUUAGCUAGUAGGUGGGGUAACGGCUCACCUAGGCGACGAUCCCUAGCUGGUCUGAGAGGAUGAUCCGCCACACUGGGACUGAGACACGGCCCAGACUCCUACGGGAGGCAGCAGUGGGGAAUUUUGGACAAUGGGCGCAAGCCUGAUCCAGCCAUGCCGCGUGUCUGAAGAAGGCCUUCGGGUUGUAAAGGACUUUUGUCAGGGAAGCGGUACCUGAAGAAUAAGCACCGGCUAACUACGUGCCAGCAGCCGCGGUAAUAC